CCUCCGAUACGGUAGGAUAUUUCGCAACUAAUGAUGGUACUAUACUCUUCCAAUUCCACUAUAGUUUGGCAUCUCAGUCUAUUCGAUGUUUUCGUAUUCCUUGCACUUAUACUAUUGAACGGCGUUGCCAUAUACGUGGGUUGCUGGAUCAGCCUGGAAUAUCUAACACUGGUGCUAGCGGGCACCCUCGCUAUACCCCUCGCUUGUAUCCACCUAUUCGUUUGGCGAAUCGAUGCGUUAACUGAACUUUGGGGUAGAAUCAAAAUAUCAACAAAAAUCGGCCAAGUUUUAGUUUUAACGUUUCUGAUAGUUUACUCUGCGCUUUGGCUGUUUCUUGCCUUUUCCUACUUCAACCAUGUGAGCAAC